AGUCAAGUAAUUAAGUGCAUGUGGUGGAUGCCUUGGCAGUCAGAGGCGAUGAAAGACGUGAUAGCCUGCGAAAAGCUCCGGGGAGGCGGCAAAUAUCCUUUGAUCCGGAGAUGUCUGAAUGGGGGAACCCACCUACUUUAAGGUAGGUAUUGCAACAUGAAUACAUAGUGUUGCAAGGCGAACGAGGGGAAGUGAAACAUCUCAGUACCCUUAGGAAAAGAAAUCAAUUGAGAUUCCCUCAGUAGCGGCGAGCGAACGGGGAUCAGCCCAUUAAGUUAUGUGUGUUUUAGUGGAACGCUCUGGGAAGUGCGAACGUAGAGGGUGAUAUUCCCGUACACGAAAGGGCACACAUAAUGAUGACGAGUAGGGCGAGGCACGUGAAACCUUGUCUGAAUAUGGGGGACCAUCCUCCAAGGCUAAAUACUCCUGACUGACCGAUAGUGAACCAGUACCGUGAGGGAAAGGCGAAAAGAACCCCUGUGAGGGGAGUGAAAUAGAUCCUGAAACCGCAUGCAUACAAGCAGUGGGAGCACCUUCGUGGUGUGACUGCGUACCUUUUGUAUAAUGGGUCAGCGACUUAUAUUCAGUAGCGAGGUUAACCGUAUAGGGGAGCCGUAGAGAAAUCGAGUCUUAAUAGGGCGUUUAGUUGCUGGGUAUAGACCCGAAACCAGGCGAUCUAUCCAUGAGCAGGUUGAAGGUUGGGUAACACUAACUGGAGGACCGAACCCACUGUCGUUGAAAAGCCAGGGGAUGACUUGUGGAUAGGGGUGAAAGGCUAAUCAAGCCUGGUGAUAGCUGGUUCUCCCCGAAAGCUAUUUAGGUAGCGCCUCGGACGAAUACCAUAGGGGGUAGAGCACUGUUUCGGCUAGGGGGUCAUCCCGACUUACCAAACCGAUGCAAACUCCGAAUACCUAUGAGUACUAUCCGGGAGACAGACUGCGGGUGCUAACGUCCGUAGUCAAGAGGAAAACAAUCCAGACCGCCAGCUAAGGCCCCAAAAUCAUAGUUAAGUGGGAAACGAUGUGGGAAGGCAUAGACAGCUAGGAGGUUGGCUUAGAAGCAGCCACCCUUUAAAGAAAGCGUAAUAGCUCACUAGUCGAGUCGGCCUGCGCGGAAGAUGUAACGGGGCUAAAACUAUGUGCCGAAGCUGCGGAUGUAUACUUUGUAUACGUGGUAGGGGAGCGUUCUGUAAGCCGAUGAAGGUGUGUUGAGAAGCAUGCUGGAGGUAUCAGAAGUGCGAAUGCUGACGUGAGUAACGACAAAACGGGUGAAAAACCCGUUCGCCGAAAGACCAAGGGUUCCAGUCCAACGUUAAUCGGGGCUGGGUGAGUCGACCCCUAAGGCGAGGCCGAAAGGCGUAGUCGAUGGGAAAAUGGUUAAUAUUCCAUUACUUCUGUGUAAUGCGAUGAGAGGACGGAGAAGGCUAAAUCAGCCUGGCGUUGGUUGUCCAGGUGAAAGGAUGUAGGCAUGUAUCUUAGGCAAAUCCGGGGUACUCUAUGCUGAGAUCUGAUAGCAAGCUGUACUUGUACAGCGAAGUGGUUGAUGCCAUGCUUCCAGGAAAAGUCUCUAAGCUUCAGUUACACAGGAAUCGUACCCGAAACCGACACAGGUGGUCAGGUCGAGUAGACCAAGGCGCUUGAGAGAACUCUGCUGAAGGAACUAGGCAAAAUGGUACCGUAACUUCGGGAGAAGGUACGCUGUUGUUGGUGAUGGAACUCGCUUCCUGAGCUGACGACAGCCGCAGAAACCAGGCCGCUGCAACUGUUUAUUAAAAACAUAGCACUCUGCAAACACGAAAGUGGACGUAUAGGGUGUGAUGCCUGCCCGGUGCUGGAAGGUUAAUUGAUGGGGUUAGCGUAAGCGAAGCUCUUGAUCGAAGCCCCAGUAAACGGCGGCCGUAACUAUAACGGUCCUAAGGUAGCGAAAUUCCUUGUCGGGUAAGUUCCGACCUGCACGAAUGGCAUAAUGAUGGCGGCGCUGUCUCCAGCAGAGGCUCAGUGAAAUCGAAAUCGCUGUGAAGAUGCAGUGUACCCGCGGCUAGACGGAAAGACCCCGUGAACCUUUACUGCAGCUUGACACUGAACUUUGACCUUACUUGUGUAGGAUAGGUGGGAGGCUUUGAAGCUGGAACGCUAGUUCCAGUGGAGCCGUCCUUGAAAUACCACCCUGGUAAUGUUGAGGUUCUAACUCUGUCCCGUGAUCCGGGACGAGGACCGUGUCUGGUGGGUAGUUUGACUGGGGCGGUCUCCUCCUAAAGAGUAACGGAGGAGUACGAAGGUGCGCUCAGCGUGGUCGGAAAUCACGCGUAGAGUAUAAAGGCAAAAGCGCGCUUAACUGCGAGACCCACAAGUCGAGCAGGUACGAAAGUAGGUCUUAGUGAUCCGGUGGUUCUGUAUGGAAGGGCCAUCGCUCAACGGAUAAAAGGUACUCUGGGGAUAACAGGCUGAUACCGCCCAAGAGUUCAUAUCGACGGCGGUGUUUGGCACCUCGAUGUCGGCUCAUCUCAUCCUGGGGCUGAAGCAGGUCCCAAGGGUAUGGCUGUUCGCCAUUUAAAGAGGUACGCGAGCUGGGUUUAGAACGUCGUGAGACAGUUCGGUCCCUAUCUACCGUGGGCGCUGGAAAUUUGAGAGGAUCUGCUCCUAGUACGAGAGGACCAGAGUGGACGAACCUCUGGUGUACCGGUUGUGACGCCAGUCGCAUCGCCGGGUAGCUAUGUUCGGAAGGGAUAACCGCUGAAAGCAUCUAAGCGGGAAGCCUACCUCAAGAUAAGAUUUCCCUAGGACUUUAUGUCCUCUAAAGAGCCGUUCGAGACUAGGACGUUGAUAGGUUGGAUGUGGAAGCAUAGUGAUAUGUGAAGCUGACCAAUACUAAUUGCUCGUGAGGCUUGACUAUAC
rnacentral:rRNA from 1 species